rnacentral:rRNA from 1 species
CCUACGGGUGACAGCAGUGAGGAAUAUUGGUCACUGGACGAGAGUCUGAACCAGCCACGUAGCGUGAAAGCUGAAUGCCCUAUGGGUUGUAAGCUUCUUUUAUAUGGGAAUAAAACGUUCCAAGUGUGUGAUUUUGUAUGUACCAUAUGAAUAAGGAUGGGCCAACUCCGUGCCAGCAGCCGUGGUAAUACGGAGGAUCCGCGCGUUAGCCGGAUUGAUUGGGUUGAACGGGAGCGUAGGUGGAUUGUUAAGUCAGUUGGGAAAGUUUGCGGCUUAACCGUAAAAGUGCAGUUGAAACUGGCCGUCUUGAGUACAGGAGAGGUGGGCGGAAUUCGUGGUGUAGCGGUGAAAUGCUUAGAUAUCACGAAGAACUCCGAUUGCGAAGGCAGUUCACUGGACUGCAACUGACACUGAGGCUCGAAAGUGUGGGUAUCAAACAGGAUUAGAUACCCUAGUAGUC